CAGCUAGGGAUUGACGGAAAAGACAGCUCAAGGGGAGAGAGAUGACCAACGGGGAAGAGAGGGAGAGAAGUGAGUACCCCUCCCUGGGGUCUGCUUUUCACCCCUCUUUUUUGUUUUGUGGUGCCAGGGAUCCCACAAGUGCUGCCACCGAACCACACCCCAGCCUUCCCCUGCCUGCUGUCCACAAACUAAAGAAAUAAAAGAAUUUCCCAGGGAGAGGAGUCAACUUUACCGCGGGUCCAACUCCUUAGCUACACGCUUGGCCUUGUUCCACUCUUCACCCUCAAUGAAAGCGUCGAUCGCCUCCUUGACAAGGUCCAUGUUCAGGUAGAGCUCUGCAGCCUGCUCAGUGGGACACCAACGCAGAAACCAUCUUUUCCCCAAUUGCCGAGUCCCCACAGGGCAAGCUCUCCCCUCUGCCUCUCCACGGCAGGGCCGCCUCACAUGCUUCUCUGCUAUGAUGUCACCAUCCUACCCAGCCCAAGUGCCAUCAUCUCUUUUCAGUCCCAGCCCCCUACUUACCGCACUGUGCUUUCCAAUUCCAAUGAGCUGGGGUCCGACAGCCCGAACUACUUCCAGACUGCGCUGGGGAGGCAGAAACUUGAUGGAGAGCUCUGCUGCCUGGGUGGUGGAACAGAAGAUGGAAAUGAACAGGAAUGACAAAUAAAUCUAGAGUUCCUCAGCCUGACCUAUUUGAUACAUUUUUUCCUCCAGAUGGCAAUUUUCUCUUUGGGCUCUCCCUCACCUUCCUGGGCAAAGCCCAGCUCAUGGCUGACUGGAUCGUUUUGCUGACCAGCAGUACACAGAUUUGUUCAGCUCAGCUCAGUGUAACUUUUCAGACACUGCUGUCUGAGGUCACUGCCUUUGAUCAUGCCACUCAUGACAAACUGGUUUCUCAAGUUCUUUGUCACAAACAGAAUCUUGGUCGCACAGUAUAGAGAAAAAAUUUCUGAAACCAGGAGUCCAGGGCAUUCUGCAAUCAUUUGUGUUUAAGUUUUUAUGAGCCUCAGUUUCUUUAUGCAUAUGCACUCAAUUUUGCAGAUAGCACAACAAAAACGAAUGGCAAAUAUCUCAGUAAGGUUAAAUUUAAUUAUGUAUGUUAAUUAAGUAUGUUAAAAUGCUAUUUUAGAUGUAGUGGGUUAAAUAAAAUGAUUUUCAUCUG